rnacentral:tRNA from 2 species
GAGCAUAGCUCAGUUGGGAGAGCAUCUGCCUUACAAGCAGAGGGUCACAGGUUCGAGCCCUGUUGUUCCC